UGGGCAUCAGGUGACUUUGCAAAAGUGGCUUCUCCCUGGUGACUGCAAGAACUCGACUGUGCAGAGCCCAUUGGCGCUGAGGCAGCAGCAAGCGCUGGGCUUCAAAAUCACCCAGUGCCACUGUGUGUAGAUUAUUCGGGAUCAAACUUCCUACAUGUGGAUCAUCACCACCUUUGGAAAGAUACCAAGCAUGGAUACAUUUUUGACUGCAGGAGCAGAAAGUGAAUUUUGGAGACAGUCAUCAGAAGAAUGAUGAGUGCCCUCUGCAGAGUCACAGCCCUGCUGUACUGAGAGCUGUACAGACACAAACUAAGAGAUAAUUCCUUCCUCACAGAUUUGGCCAUCUAGGUGAAGACCAGAUGCAGCAGAGUGGUCUUGAGCUGAGAUUAUCCAUGUGGGUCUGAGUCAGUUAAGCUUCCCCUUUUGAACAACUGCAUUCUUUGACAAUUCACUCAUUUUUUUGAAUAUGGAAAAAUAAUAGAGAAGACAAAGAGUGAGCAUCCUCCGAAGAGUGCCUUGAGGCUAAAAAUGUGAGAACCACUGCAGUAGUCCUUGGAGCAGGCUUAAUGGACAAGGUGGGGAAGUAAGCAGAGAGGUAUGAUACUAGGACAUACUGGCCACAUCUACACAUUAUACUACGCCGCUGUAGUAUCCCACACUCACAGUAUGGGAUGUUACUGUGCCCAGAGCAGGAGGGUCAUACUCAGUGAUCUAAUUGGUCCCUUCUGACCCUAGAAAUCUAUGAAAUCUAUGAAUCAUUUAGUGACGGCACAGUAACAACAGUGCCAUAGGGGCACGUGUAGACCUUGCCCAUUGCCUUGUACAUUUGAUGCCACCUAACUCCCCACGAACCUCACCUCUUCUUAGGCAAUUGGAAUACAAAAAUUUCAACCUGAUGGUGAGUAGCUUGAGAAAUGCUAGCCUGCUGCUCCCAAAGGGCAAAUGUUUUCCUAAACAUUUGAAUCCUGGGCAUGAGCUUAGGUUUCUCUAAAGCAGCUACACUGUCUCAUUGGGAGUUACUCUGCACAGAGUAGGAGUCGAUGGGGUGUUUUGUGGCAGUAAUCCCAAGUGUGAUAUAGAGGCAGCAUAAGCAGACCCUUGAAAGAAGGCCCAUUGACUUCUCUGAGAUUUGUGUUAGGUCCUUAGCUAGGACACUCCUUUGCCAGUGCACUUUCUGCUAGUGAGUGCAAGAAAGUAAGAAAAUAACUUAGCCCAGCACAACUUGUCCCUGAACUCAAACCCAUUAAUUAUUGGAUCACUUCAAAGGAGGAGCAUAUUAAGGUUGUCAGCAGUUCAGUAUAUGGUGAUUAUCAUGGUUGCAGGAUGGGAAAUAUCAUUCAAUACUGUUGGGCCCUCUGAUACAGUAUCAUAUUGUGGGAGCAUGUUGCAGUGCCAUGGUGACAUUUGCAUGAUGCGGUGAUGGUUUUUCUAUGAUGUUACAAUGCAAACAGCUCAUAGACAAUAGUCUCCCAGGGAAGAAGGUUUAAAAAGUUUCCCAUCCUUAGUGCAACUGAACAAAGGAAAGAAGGUUUUUAAGAAAAGCCAAUGAACUGCUUCUUGAAGUGGCCUCCUAUUUAAGAGUGUGCAAACACCUCAUCCUCAAUAAAUGGACCCAAAGGAAAUCCAGAAAACAGUGAGCUGUAAGUAGAAAAAACAGAUGCCAUCUUUAUACUGUGAUCAUCUAGGAACCUUCACUUAACUUUGGCUUUGUGACUGCCAAAAACCAGUACUUGAGAAAUGUGGUGCCAGGAAUCUUAAAGUCACUUUCUUAAGCUUGGAAAAUGCAGCUGCUUUGGGAAUCUAGCCCAAGAUGGUUAUUAUCCACUGUGCAGAAAAUAGCUUCUGCUGUGAACUUUCCUGAAUGCCAUAUUCUUCACAACUACUGGUCAUCUGUAUCACCUGGGAAUAAUGGUACUGUCUGGGAGUGUACCAUGAUAUAAAAGACACCAAACUGGAAAUUGGGAAGCUACUACAGAGCCUGAUGCCCUCUGUGAAAAAAUGUUCAUGACUUUCUGCCAGGUUGUUGUUACCAUUGUUAAAAUGGGCACUGUCCAUAUAAUUAAAAACCUCUGACAGGUGUGAAAUCCUGGAAGUUUAUAUGAAUCAUUUGUUGCUAAGCAGAAUAACAUAUAUCACUGCUGAAAUGCAUGCCAUGAGACAGUUCUAACGUGCCAUUUGUCUUUUCCAUAAUUCAUUCUCAUGCAGGACAAAUGCUCUGUGGAGAGUUAGUCAUAACGGACUCUGAACUUUCCCAACUAGAAUUACAUCUUCAUUUGUCAGACAGUCCUUCUGAAGCCCAACUGUUGCUGUAUGGUUGCCUGUUUGUAAAAUUUAAUUGCUCAAAAUACACCUGCCCCACAAAUCCACUUGUGGUAGGAUUGUAGUGAACAAACUCUGCCUCCAGGUUUUAAACCCUGCAUUUCCUCUCUGCAUUAGCAAGCUGCAUCUAUGUUAUAAUUCAGAAUAAAACUGUAUGGAAAACCCUAUCACAAAUUACUUCUUUUGCCAAUGGAAAGGAUGUAAUAAUGCACACAUAUUGACUUUCAUCUUUGAUCAAUGCUAAGAUUUAUUGUCUCUCCAGGCAAAUAUUGAGUGAGAUGUGGCCUUGGUCAAUUAAGUUUGUCUCAGUCAAUAAAUCUAGACAUUGACUGCAGGAGAACUCAGUGUCUGCUUGUUGGUUAGUGACUAGCAUUAACUGGUAUCAUCCUCCCAGAAAGGGCUGGUUGGACAAAAUGACAUCUUUUAAA